UACGAAGGGUGCAAGCGUUACUCGGAAUUACUGGGCGUAAAGCGUGCGUAGGUGGUUUGUUAAGUCUGUUGUGAAAGCCCCCGGGCUCAACCUGGGAAUGGCAAUGGAUACUGGCAGGCUAGAGUGCGGUAGAGGGUAGUGGAAUUCCCGGUGUAGCGGUGAAAUGCGUAGAGAUCGGGAGGAACACCAGUGGCGAAGGCGGCUACCUGGACCAGCACUGACGCUGAGGAGCGAAAGCAUGGGUAGCGAACAGG
rnacentral:rRNA from 1 species